AGAGUUUGAUCCUGGCUCAGGACUAACGCUGGCGGCGUGCCUAACACAUGCAAGUCGAACGAAGUAGCAAUACUUAGUGGCAGACGGGUGAGUAACACGUGGUCAACCUACCUCAGCGUGGGGGAUAACUAGCCGAAAGGUUAGCUAAUACCGCAUACGAUCGCUAAGUGGCAUCACUUGGCGAUGAAAGGAGCAAUCCGCGCAGAGAGGGGACUGCGUCCCAUUAGUUAGUUGGUGGGGUAAUGGCCUACCAAGACUCCGAUGGGUAGCUGGCUUGAGAGAGCGACCAGCCACACUGGAACUGAGACACGGUCCAGACUCCUACGGGAGGCAGCAGUGAGGAAUUUUCCGCAAUGGGCGAAAGCCUGACGGAGCGACGCCGCGUGUGGGAAGAAGGCCUUCGGGUCGUAAACCACUGUCGAGGGGGACGAUAUUGACGGUACCCCUGGAGGAAGCCCCGGCUAACUACGUGCCAGCAGCCCGCGGUAAGACGUANGGGGCAAGCGUUGUCCGGAAUCAUUGGGCGUAAAGCGCUCGUAGGUGGAUCGGUAAGUCUGCAAGCAAAGACCUGGGCUCAACUCAGGUUUCCGUGUAGAAACUGNCAAUCUUGAGGCAA
rnacentral:rRNA from 1 species